GAUGAACGCUAGCGGCAGGCUUAACACAUGCAAGUCGAGGGGCAACACGGGUAGCAAUACCUGGUGGCGACCGGCGCAAGGGUGCGUAACGCGUGAGCAACAUGCCCUAUACAGGGGGAUAAUCCAGGGAAACUUGGUCUAAUAUCCCAUAGUAUUUAGAGGUGGCAUCACCACUAAAUUAAAGCUUCGGUGGUAUAGGAUUGGCUCGCGUGACAUUAGCUGGAUGGUGGGGUAACGGCUCACCAUGGCGAUGAUGUCUAGGGGUUCUGAGAGGAAGACCCCCCACACUGGGACUGAGACACGGCCCAGACUCCUACGGGAGGCAGCAGUGAGGAAUAUUGGGCAAUGGGGGAAACCCUGACCCAGCGACGCCGCGUGAGGGAAGACGGCCUGGUUGUAACCUCUUUUGUACGGAAGAAGGAAGUGACGGUACUGUACGAAUAAGUACCCGGCGUAACUACGUG
rnacentral:rRNA from 1 species